UUUUGGUUUAUGAUUAUCUACAAGACAAAAGACAAUACGGCAUUCAAAGACAAUGUCUCAGGUGUAGAGUAUCAUGACAUUGAUCAAGCAUACAUUGAUAAUGAUCCAUAAGUACACUCAAAUCAAAAUCAAAUUAAACUUUAUUUGUCACAUGCGCCGAAUUCAGCAAGUGUAGACUUUAUGUGAAUUGCUUACUUACAAGCCCUUAACCAACAGUGCAGUUCAAGAAGAAGAAAAUAUUUACCAAGUAGACUAAAAUAAAAAGUAAUACAAUAAGAGUAACAAUAACGAGGCUAUAUACAUGGGGCACCGGUACCGAGUCAGUGUGCGGGGGUACAGACUAGUUAAGGUAAUCUGUACAUGCAGGUAGGAGCGAAGUGAGUAACAAUGCAUAGGUAACAAACAAACAGCGAGUAGCAGCAGUAUACACAGGGAGGGGGGGUCAAUGUAAAUUGUAAAUUGUAAACUGACGAUUUUAUGAAUUGUUCAGCAGUCUUAUGGCUUGGGGGUAGAAACUGUUGAGAAGCCUUUUGGUCCUAGACUUGGCCCUCCUGUACCGCUUGCCUUAACCAUGUACCAGAAAAAACGGUCAAUAACUUUGGUGACUGGAGUCUCUGACAAUUUUAUGGGCUUUCCUCUGACACCGCCUAUCAUAUAGCUCCUGGAUGGCAGGAAGUUUGGCCCCAGUGAUGUACUGGGCCAUUCGCACUACCCUCUGUAGCUCCUUAGGGUCAGAUGCCAAGCAGUUGCCAUACCAGGCGGUGAUGCAACCGGUCAGGAUGCUGUCGAUGGUGCAGCUGUAGAACCUUUUGAGGAUCUGGGGACCCAUUCCUAAUCUUUUCAGUCUCCUGAGGGAAAAAGGUUUUGUCGUGACCUCUUCACGACUGUCUUGGUGUGUUUGAACCAUGAUAGUUUGUUGGUGAUGUGGACACCAAGGAACUUGAAACUCUUGACCCGCUCCACUACAGCCUCUUCAAUGUUAAUGGGAGCCUGUUUGGCCCGCCUUUUCCCGUAGUCCACGAUCAGCUCCUUAGUCUUGCUCACAUUGAGGGAGAGGUUGUUGUCCUGGCACCACACUGCCAGUUCUCUGACCUCCUCCCUAGAGGCUGUCUCAUUGUUGUCGGUGAUCAGGCAUACCACUGUUGUGUUGUCAGCAAACUUAAUGAUGGGGUUGGAGUCGUGUUUGGCCACGCAGUCGUGGGUGAACAGGGAAUACAGGUGGGGCUAAGUAAACACCCCUGAGGGGCCACGUGUUAAGGAUGGCAGACAUGUUGUUGCCUACUCUUACCACCUGGGGGCGGCCCGUCAGGAAGUCCAGUUGCAGAGGGAGGUGUUUAGUCCCAGAGUCCUUAGCUUAGUGAUGAGCUUCGUUGGCAUUAUGGUGUUGAACGCUGAGCUGUAGUCAAUGAACAGCAUUCUCACAUAGGUGUUCCCUUUGUUCAGGUGAGAAAGGGCAGUGUGGAGUGCGAUAGAGAUUGCAUCAUCUGUGGAUCUGUUGGGGGCGGUAUGCGAAUUGGAGUGGGUCUAGGGUGUCCGGGAGGAUGCUGUUGAUGUGAGCCAUGAUCAGCCUUUCAAAGCACUUCAUGGCUACCGACGUGAGUGCCACGGGGCGGUAAUAAUUUAAGCAGGUUACCUUUGCUUCCUUGGGCACAGGGACUAUGGUGGUCUGCUUGAAACAUGUAGGUAUUACAGACUCGGUCAGGAAGAGGUUGAAAAUGGCAGUGAAGACACUUGACAAUUGGUCCGCCCAUGCUUUAAGUACACGUCCUGGUAAUCAUUCUGGCGCAGCGGCUUUGUGAUUUUUGAUCUGUUUAAAGGUUUUGUUCACAUUGGCUACCGAGAGCAUCACACAGUCAUCCAGAACAGCUAGUGCUCUCGUGCAUGCUUCAGUGUUGCUUGCCCAGAAGCCAGCAUAAAAGGAAAUGAGCUCAUCUGGUAGGCUUGCGUCACUGGGCAGCUCGCGUCUGGGUGUCCCUUUGUAGUCCGUAAUAGUUUUCAAGCCCUGCCACAUCCGAAGAGAGUCAGAGCUGGUGUAGUAGGAUUCAAUCUUAAUCCUUUAUUGACGCUUUGCUUGUUUGAUGGUUCGUCUGAGGGCAUAGUGGGAUUUCUUAUAAGCGUCCGGAUUAGUCUCACGCUCUUUGAAAGUGGCAGCUCUAGCCUUUAGCUCGAUGCGGAUGUUGCCUGUAAUCCAUGGCCACUGUGAGUAUUCCUACAUAUACAACAGAUAGUGCAGAGGGCCAGGAGGAUGAUGGAGAGGAGGAGGAAGAGCAGAGAGAAAACAACGACCUCUAUAGAGAAUGAUUUCGACACUGACACUGCCCAUGACUCCAUGAACUCUCCCACUGGCGCCAUGGCAACUGCUGCUGUAAGGGGAAACAGUGAGUGAGAGAGGUGGAGAGAAAGAGAGAGAGAGUUUGUGGGUGCAUACAUGCUUUCAGAGUGUGCUUGGGUGAAAUAAAAGCGUUGGCUCAUCUACUGAAAGGAGUGUUUAGUUUGUGUAUAGUUGUGAUUGAUGGUGUCAAUUUGUACUUUUAUGGUUACAUGAUCAAAGAGAAGUUGACAAAACAAAGCAUAGCACACAUUUGUGCACUGAGAGGAUUAAUCUACUUACUCAUUGAAAGAUAAUUCAAGAGAGUUCAUGUAUGCACUUAUUAUUACAGUAUAGGAUUG
ensembl:lncRNA